GGCUCAGGACGAACGCUGGCGGCGUGCCUAACACAUGCAAGUCGAGCGAGGAGAUUCCUUCGGGAUGAUCCUAGCGGCGGACGGGUGAGUAACACGUGGGCAACCUGCCUCAUAGAGAGGAAUAGCCUUCCGAAAGGGAGAUUAAUACCUCAUAACAUUGCAGUUUCGCAUGGAACAGCAAUUAAAGGAGUAAUCCGCUAUGAGAUGGGCCCGCGGCGCAUUAGCUAGUUGGUGAGGUAACGGCUCACCAAGGCGACGAUGCGUAGCCGACCUGAGAGGGUGAUCGGCCACAUUGGGACUGAGACACGGCCCAGACUCCUACGGGAGGCAGCAGUGGGGAAUAUUGCACAAUGGGGGAAACCCUGAUGCAGCAACGCCGCGUGAGUGAUGACGGCCUUCGGGUUGUAAAGCUCUGUCUUCAGGGACGAUAAUGACGGUACCUGAGGAGGAAGCCACGGCUAACUACGUGCCAGCCGCCGC
rnacentral:rRNA from 1 species